ACGGGGAGCAGCAGGCGCGAAAACUUUACAAUGCUGGAAACAGCGAUAAGGGGACCUCGAGUGCCAGGUUACAAAUCUGGCUGUCGUGAUGCCUAAAAAGCAUUGCAUAGCAAGGGCCGGGCAAGACCGGUGCCAGCCGCCGCGGUAACACCGGCGGCUCGAGUGGUAACCGUUAUUAUUGGGUCUAAAGGGUCUGUAGCCGGCCGGAUAAGUCUCUUGGGAAAUCUGGCAGCUUAACUGUCAGGCUUUCAGGAGAUACUGUCUGGCUCGAGGCCGGGAGAGGUGAGAGGUACUUCAGGGGUAGGGGUGAAAUCUUGUAAUCCUUGAGGGACCACCAGUGGCGAAGGCGUCUCACCAGAACGGACCUGACGGCAAGGGACGAAAGCUAGGGGCACGAACCGGAUUAGAUACCCGGGUAGUCCUAGCCGUAAACGAUACUCGCUAGGUGUCGGCAACGGUGCGACCGUUGUCGGCGCCGUAGGGAAGCCGUGAAGCGAGCCACCUGGGAAGUACGGCCGCAAGGCUGAAACUUAAAGGAAUUGGCGGGGGAGCAC
rnacentral:rRNA from 1 species